rnacentral:tRNA from 1 species
GGGUGUAUAGCUCAGUGGUAGAGCAUUCAACUGCAGAUCGGGAGGUCCCUGAUUCAAACCCGGGGCCCC